rnacentral:rRNA from 1 species
GACGAACGCUGGCGGCGUGCUUAACACAUGCAAGUCGAACGGACUAUUUCAUUUCGGUGGGAUGGUUAGUGGCGAACGGGUGAGUAACGCGUAGACAACCUACCUCUUAGAUGGGGACAACAUCGCGAAAGCGGUGCUAAUACCGAAUGAAGUGACUUUCCUGCAUGGGAGAGAUACUAAAGGUGGCCUCUAUUUAUAGGCUACCACUGAGAGAUGGGUCUGUGUCUGAUUAGCUAGUUGGCGGGGUAACGGCCCACCAAGGCGAGGAUCAGUAGCCGGUCUGAGAGCAUGAACGGCCACAUUGGGACUGAGACACGGCCCAAACUCCUACGGGAGGCAGCAGUGGGGAAUCUUCCGCAAUGGACGAAAGUCUGACCGAGCAACGCCGCGUGAGUGAUGAAGGCUUUCGGGUCGUAAAACUCUGUUGCCAGAGAAGAACGUCGGGUAGAGUAACUGCUGCCCGAGUGACGGUAUCUGAGAAGAAAGCCCCGGCUAACUACGUGCCAGCCGCCGCCGUAA